rnacentral:rRNA from 1 species
CCUACGGGUGGCAGCAGUGAGGAAUAUUGGUCAAUGGGCUUACGCCUGAACCAGCCAAGUCGCGUGAGGGAAGACUGCCCUAUGGGUUGUAAACCUCUUUUGUCAGGGAGCAAUUGGCGCUACGUGUAGCGUUAUCGCGAGUACCUGAAGUACAAGCAUCGGCUAACUUCGUGCCAGCAGCCGCGGUAAUACGGGGGAUGCGAGCGGUAUCCGGAUUUAUUGGGUUUAAGGGGUGCGUAGGCGGAAUGCCAAGUCAGCGGGAAAAUCGCGGGGCGCAACCUGGCUCCGCCGUUGAAACUGGCGUGCUUGAGUGGGCGAGAGGUAUGCGGAAUGCGUGGUGUAGCGGUGAAAUGCAUAGAUAUCACGCAGAACUCCGAUGGCGAAGGCAGCAUACCGGCGCCCAACUGACGCUGAAGCACGAAAGCGUGGGUAUCGAACAGGAUUAGAUACCCCGGUAGUC